UACGUAGGUGGCGAGCGUUGUCCGGAUUUACUGGGCGUAAAGAGCGCGCAGGCGGCUGGGCAAGUCCGAUGUGAAAGCUUCCGGCUUAACUGGAAAAUUGCAUCGGAAACUGCUCGGCUUGAAGGUGGGAGAGGGUAGCGGAAUUCCCGGUGUAGUGGUGAAAUGCGUAGAUAUCUGGAGGAACACCGGUGGCGAAGGCGGCAUCCUGGACCGAGAUUGACGCUGAUGCGCGAAAGCCAGGGGAGCAAACGGG
rnacentral:rRNA from 1 species